rfam:Triticum aestivum genome assembly, contig: Triticum_aestivum_CS42_TGACv1_scaffold_306565_4AS
AUCAUACUCCCUCCGUCCAGAAAUACUUGUCAUAGAAAUGGUUGUAUAUAGACUUAUUUUAGUUAUAGAUACAUCCAUUUUAUCAAUUUCUAGGAAAAGUAUUCCCGGACGGAGGGAGUACUUU